AACCAACCACCGACUGUCCCUUUCCUGUCCCGUGCUGGCUGUGGCCUAGAAGGUAGAGAUCCGUCCCCGAAUCCCGGCGUCCUCCCUUUGCCUCCUUUUCAGUUGGUUCUUGGGUUUUUUCCCUCCUCCUUGCUCCACGCUGAACCUGCCCGGCUCUUCCUUGUAGCGGCUGCUGACCACCAACCUUCCUCCCUCUCUCCGACUUCUGGCAACUCCCAACCCUCCCUGGAUGUGCGGACUCGGACACUGCUGCGGACGUGGGAUGGGUGGGAGGGGUGGGACACUCCGGACGCUGCUGGAAUUCCUGCAGCUGGAUGGGCUUGGACACUGGACUGGGCUCUCUGUCCCGUGCAGCUCCGUGGGAUCAUCCCGCACGCACUGGGACCUGCCAAGGGGGUUGGGAGAGGAAUCACUGGGAUAAGGACAUGGGGAAGGUGGGAAGCAGAGCCGGGGAGGGGGUGGGGGUUGGAAAGUCGCAGCCUGGCAGCACGGCUGGAUUGGCAGGAGCCCCGUAAGCAGCUUAGCCUGAGACUGGCAGCGCUUGGGAAGGGGAGAGGCUCCCCCUGUGCUCGCAGCUCCGAGCUGAGACAUCCCCGCGGCUCCGGGAUGCCUCGGGGGGGAUUUCGGGGGGGAUUUUUGGGAGGGUGGGAGGGGCAGAUGUUCUGUGAGGGAGGUGGGGGGGAGCGGGGAAGGCUUGACGUGCUCGGGGGUGUAAAAUGCUUAUACAGCUCUCCAACUCCUUGGAGCCCUGUCAGCCAAAAAGUCCCCUCAUUUUUAUCUUGGGAGCACCACGGGAAUCAUGGGGAUGAGGCUGGAAUGCUCCAGUGGCCAUCAGGCUGCAGCUUCACCCAGGAAAGGGAAUUUUGGCCAUUUUGGUGAUCUCCUGGGAGGUGUCUCCAGCCCCAGCUCUCCAGGCCCUGGGACUGCUCUGCCCCAGUGGCAAUGCAGAAUAAAGGGACAGCCUGGAGUGGCCGUGUGCGCUCGUGCCCAGCUGGCCCAGGACAGGGGAGGUUUGCUGAGGGGGUUCCAAGAGGAGAAGGAAAGAAAGGAAGGAAGGAAGGAACACAAAGCUAUCGGAUCUGCCGUGCUCUGCCCCUCCUGUCCCUGCUGGGCAGCAUCCCAGGGCAGCACAUCCCCACAGCCAGCCCUGGGCAGUGCCCAGCCCCAGCUCUGGCACACUCAGCCUGCAGGGGAGGUGACCCUGAUGUCCCUGUCUGCUGCCUGUGCCUGUCCCUGGUGCUCUGCCAUCCCUGGCACCCACCACCCAUCCCUGGCACCCACCACCCAUCCCUGGCACCCACUACCCAUCCAUGACAUCCACCAUCCGCUCCCAUCAUCCAUCCCUGGCAUCCAUCCCUGGCAUCCAUCCCUGGCACUCACUCUUCAUCCCUGCUCCUGCACCCAUCCCUGCUCCCACCCUCCAUCCCUGNUCCCUCCACCCACCCCAGCCCCUGUGAAGCUCCUGGAGCUGCAGGAUCUCCUCCCUGGCUGGACAGCAUUCAAGGGGCCGUUCCUGCUCGGCAUUCAUGUGGGAGGAAGGUUUGCAGCUGCUUCCUGGAGGGGAGGGAGGGCUUUGGGGCCAGCAGGAGUUUCAAACCAGGUUCUCCCUCUCUCCUGAAGAAGGGGAAGGCAAAAACGGUAUUUUGACAUUUUUCAUGGUCCUGUUCCUCAUUCCAACAACCUCUGGAAGAGGAAAUGACAACUGGCUUAAGAAAAGGCAAGAAAAAGGAACUUGAGCUCUGUGUGCACACAAAGAAAACCUUUAAAUAAAGGGGGAGGGGACCUGCA
ensembl:lncRNA